AGCGAACGCUGGCGGCAGGCUUAACACAUGCAAGUCGAGCGGGCAUAGCAAUAUGUCAGCGGCGGACGGGUGAGUAACGCGUGGGAACGUACCUUUUGGUUCGGAACAACACAGGGAAACUUGUGCUAAUACCGGAUAAGCCCUUACGGGGAAAGAUUUAUCGCCGAAAGAUCGGCCCGCGUCUGAUUAGCUAGUUGGUGGGGUAAAGGCCCACCAAGGCGACGAUCAGUAGCUGGUCUGAGAGGAUGAUCAGCCACAUUGGGACUGAGACACGGCCCAAACUCCUACGGGAGGCAGCAGUGGGGAAUAUUGGACAAUGGGGGCAACCCUGAUCCAGCCAUGCCGCGUGAGUGAUGAAGGCCCUAGGGUUGUAAAGCUCUUUUGUGCGGGAAGAUAAUGACGGUACCGCAAGAAUAAGCCCCGGCUAACUUCGUGCCAGCCGCCGCGGUAA
rnacentral:rRNA from 1 species